rnacentral:rRNA from 1 species
UACGUAGGGUGCGAGCGUUGUCCGGAAUUAUUGGGCGUAAAGAGCUUGUAGGCGGUUUGUCGCGUCUGCUGUGAAAAUCCGGGGCUCAACCCCGGACUUGCAGUGGGUACGGGCAGACUAGAGUGUGGUAGGGGAGACUGGAAUUCCUGGUGUAGCGGUGAAAUGCGCAGAUAUCAGGAGGAACACCGAUGGCGAAGGCGGGUCUCUGGGCCGAUACUGACGCUGAGGAGCGAAAGCGUGGGGAGCAAACAGG